GAAGACCUACAGUGUCAGAGACCCAGAGAUGAGAGAUAACCUCGGUGGCGAAAAAUCAACACUGUGACACGCUCUGAACCUGAAACCAUGAUGUCACAGGUUUCCUGGUGCUUUUAUGGUAAAUACUGUAUGUUCUUUCAGCUGAGAUAGGUGAUGACUGUCUUUGUGGCACACAAGUUGUCUAGGGUUACGAAAGCAACACUGAACACGAAUUUCGCUGUAUGACUGGAUUGUGGUAUUGGGUUCACUAUCUCACCCACUACUACUCUCACUGAUCAUCCCUGCAUUUGAGUGAUUGCUGACCUUUUAAAAAGCAAUUAAAUUCAGCUCAUUUAAAGGGUUACCACUCCCUCUCUUUAGGUCUAUAAAACUGCUCUUUAUACUAUCUGCUCUUUGGAGCUGUGCUGUCGCUUGAGUCAUAGCUGUAAUGUUAACAGAUUGUCUGUGUUAUGGCUGUUGCAAGGUUUGGUUGGGGUUGCAUGAUUUCAGGGUUGCUGACUCUAAACUUUAGAAUUACACAGGCGUCUGUGUGUAAUGGAAGAUGUCCUGAUGCUGCUGAUUUGUAACAUAACUGUUCUCAGGCUCAAAAGCCACUUCCUUGCUUAGUCAGUGUGAGAGUUUGUGAGCCCGGGGAAGCGCGGACAUUUGUAUGGUGUAUUUACUGGCAGCGAUACCACUGCUGAGAGAAGCAGAGAUAGAGGAGAAGCACUGCAUCACUGAAACCAAACAGCUGUGUGCGUGACCUCAGACAGCCACGAACAGAGCUGGCAAACACACUUACACACUGCAUGCACUUGUACAACCCAUGUAAUCUAGUGUCACUUAAAGAUACAUAAGCAUUAGCAGAUAGAGUCAUACUUUCACAGGAUCUCAGACUUUGACCACAACUGUUAACGCGUGCCGCACAGCCACAGCAGCAUCUCCAGAUGGAGAUACAGGAUGUGAACAGUUUUGAAACGCCGACAGAUGAAUUUCACAAAUCCAGAGACACACAUGCAGCUCACUUACCCUCCAGAAGUACUUUCUGUCAGCGUCUGUCUGCAGUAUUUCAUUUGUGUAGCUUUCCCCCACCAGAGGGCCAAAACGUGUCCCCUUAGGAAUCAGCUCCUUACUGGUCACCCCAAGCACCUGUUCAACAAGGAGGACAGAGAAUCAUCAAACCACAGAGUCGUUCCCAAAUUGGAGGGCUGAGCAAUCAGCCGGAUACACGCUGAGUUGAAAAACAUAAUUAGAGGGAGGGGAGUCUUGGGAAUACAGUCCUCCUUAUCUGACCCUUCAUCCACAAGCCUGUUUCUUGGUGUGAAACCCACCCCCGCUGUCUCAAGCCUCCGGGGUGGGGAAGAGAGGAUAAAGUGUCACGGGCACACCCUGACCAGUCAACUGCACCUCGAGCUCUGUGUUCAAAUCCCCCUAAAGCAAUGGUGUGAUUGUGAAUAAAUGUCAGCACUGCACCACUGCCACCACCCACCUAGUCCACCAACCAUCUCCCCUCAGCUUGUGGAUGAUCUCCUGUUGACAGGCCAUGGGUUAUUAUCUUGGUUUCAGGGCUAAGAGGAAUGCUACUGCACUUCACAACAGAUGUCUUCUCGAAUCCUGACAAAAACCACCCACAGAGAUGAGGCGCAGACACUGCCACUGCACUCGGCUGACCCACAGUGUAGAUGUCGGUAACCUGUUAAUGAUAGAUGAUGCAAGGACGAGUGCGUGCCUCUAUACACGUAUGGACUGUGCUCAUGCGUGGUUAGCCUAGGUUUUUGUUUGUUUGUUUUUUUGCAGCUAUUCAUUUACGUUAUUGUUACAUGAGCGGUUCUGCUUGAUAUGACUGUGACAACCAAACAAUCCGCUUUUCAGACAAGUUGAAAAUUUUAGUUUUUAACAUCCAGUGUAUGUUUUUAUUCUGUGUACCACGUGAGCCAUGUCCAAGACAAAUGUACAUUGUGUUGUGAUGGACAAUAAUGUUUUUCUGAUUCUGAUCCUAAAUAAUGAUAAGCAAAGAAGUCCAUUUGUCCCCGCGGAAACAAUAGUUUUUUUUAAGAGUUUUUUCACUUGUCAUGCAUAUAGCAAAUUUGUCAUCACGUAGCCCUAGUACGGAAUAAAGGUCGUCUCCGGCCUGUUUGAUCUUUCUCCUGCCAUCCAAUGACUCCUGGUCGAUGUGAUUUUGCCCCUUCCCAGUCAAUGGUUUGACUGGUUUUGGUGUGGCGUUCAAAGACAGCCGAUGUGGUUUGUUUCCGGUAUUUUUUCAUUCAUUCUGUCAAAGUAGAUAUGAUCUUUUAUUUUAUUUUCCCUAUUUGCUGUGUGCACUAUAAAAACUGCAACUUGUAUUCUUUGGCAUAAAUAGCAGUUAGAGGUUGUUAGGCCUUAACAACAUAAUUAUCAUUUAAGGUAGAAAUUGAAAUUAUGACAACAAAUGAAGCUAGUCUGUUAUUUCAG